GACAGAGGUGCCGAGCGUUAGGCGGAAUCACUGGGCUUAAAGCGUGUGUAGGCGGGCCGUUAAGUGUCUUGUGAAAUCCCCCGGCUCAACCGGGGAAUUGUUGGGCAUACUGGCGGUCUUGAGCGAUCUAGGGGCAGAUGGAACAAGUGGUGGAGCGGUGAAAUGCGUAGAUAUCACUUGGAACGCCAAAGGUGAAGACAGUCUGCUGGGGAUCUGCUGACGCUGAGACACGAAAGCCAGGGGAGCGAACGGG
rnacentral:rRNA from 1 species